GACAGAGGGGGCCAGCGUUGUCCGGAAUGACUGGGCGUACAGCGCGCGCAGGCGGCGACGGACGUGCCGUGUCACAGCCCUGAGCUCAACUCAGGGUGGCCACGGUAGACGCCGUCGCUGGAGGCAGGGAGAGGGAUGUGGAAUACCCGGUGGAGCGGUGAAAUGCGUAGAUAUCGGGAGGAACACCAGUGGCGAAGGCGACUACCUGGCCUGUUCUUGACGCUGAGGCGCGAAAGCUAGGGGAGCAAACGGG
rnacentral:rRNA from 1 species